rnacentral:misc_RNA from 1 species
GAUGAAGAACGUAGCGAAAUGCGAUAAGUAAUGUGAAUUGCAGAAUUCAGUGAAUCAUCGAAUCUUUGAACGCACCUUGCGCUCCUUGGUAUUCCGAGGAGCAUGCCUGUUUGAGUGUCAUUAAUAUAUCAACCUUCUCUUUUUUGAGUUGUUUGGAUGUGGGGGUUUGCUGGCCUCUUAAAUGAUUCAGCUCCCCUGAAAUGCAUUAGCAGGACAACCUGUUCAUUAGCGUGAUAAUUAUCUAUGCUAUUGAAUGUGAGGGCAGUUCAGCUUUCUAACCGUCCUUGGACAAUUCAUCAUUAAUGUGACCUCAAAUCAGGUAGGACUACCCGCUGAACUUAAGCAUAUCAAUAAGCGGAGGA